GACGAACGCUGGCGGCGUGCUUAACACAUGCAAGUCGAACGGAAAGGCCCUGCUUUUGUGGGGUGCUCGAGUGGCGAACGGGUGAGUAACACGUGAGUAACCUGCCCUUGACUUUGGGAUAACUUCAGGAAACUGGGGCUAAUACCGGAUAGGAGCUCCUGCUGCAUGGUGGGGGUUGGAAAGUUUCGGCGGUUGGGGAUGGACUCGCGGCUUAUCAGCUUGUUGGUGGGGUAGUGGCUUACCAAGGCUUUGACGGGUAGCCGGCCUGAGAGGGUGACCGGCCACAUUGGGACUGAGAUACGGCCCAGACUCCUACGGGAGGCAGCAGUGGGGAAUAUUGCACAAUGGGCGGAAGCCUAAUGCAGCAACGCAGCGUGCGGGAUGACGGCCUUCGGGUUGUAAACCGCUUUCGCCUGUGACGAAGCGUGAGUGACGGUAAUGGGUAAAGAAGCACCGGCUAACUACGUG
rnacentral:rRNA from 1 species